AGCGAACGCUGGCGGCAGGCUUAACACAUGCAAGUCGAGCGCCCGUAGCAAUACGGGAGCGGCAGACGGGAGAGUAACACGUGGGAACAUGCCCUUCGGUUCGGAGUAACUCAGGGAAACGUUGAGCUAAUACCGGAUACGUCCGUAAGGAGAAAGAUUUAUCGCCGAAGGAUUGGCCCGCGUCCGAUUAGCUUGUUGGUGAGGUAACGGCUCACCAAGGCGUACGAUCGGUAGCGGUCUGAGAGGAUGAUCAGCCUCACUGGGACUGAGACACGGCCCAGACUCCUACGGGAGGCAGCAGUGGGGAAUAUUGGACAAUGGGCGAAAGCCUGAUCCAGCCAUGCCGCGUGGGUGAUGAAGGCCUUAGGGUUGUAAAGCCCUUUCGGCGGGGAAGAUAAUGACGGUACCC
rnacentral:rRNA from 1 species